UCCCAAGUGGUCUAGUGGUAAGGAUUCCACGCUCUCACCGUGGGGGCCGGGGUUCGAUUUUCCCGCUUGGGAA